UACGUAGGGUGCGAGCGUUGUCCGGAAUUAUUGGGCGUAAAGGGCUCGUAGGCGGUUCGUCACGUCGGGGAGUGAAAACUCGGGGCUUAACCCCGAGCCUGCAGUGGAUACGGGCAGACUAGAGGUAGGUAGGGGAGAAUGGAAUUCCUGGUGUAGCGGUGAAAUGCGCAGAUAUCAGGAGGAACACCGGUGGCGAAGGCGGUUCUCUGGGCCUUACCUGACACUGAGGAGCGAAAGCGUGGGGAGCGAACAGG
rnacentral:rRNA from 1 species